rnacentral:rRNA from 1 species
AAUGAACGCUGGCGGCGUGCUUUACACAUGCAAGUCGAGCGAGGCGGGGAGCAAUCCCCAGUCGAGCGGCGAACGGGUGAGUAACGCGUGGAUGACCUGCCCUGCAGCGGGGAAUAACCCGGGGAAACUCGGGCUAAUACCGCAUACGACCGAGAGGUGAAAGGGGGCUCGCAAGGGCUCUCGCUGGCGGGAGGGGUCCGCGUCCGAUUAGCUAGUUGGUAGGGUAAUGGCCUACCAAGGCGACGAUCGGUAGCCGGCCUGAGAGGGUGAUCGGCCACACUGGAACUGAGACACGGUCCAGACUCCUACGGGAGGCAGCAGUGGGGAAUUUUGCGCAAUGGGCUAACGCCUGACGCAGCAACGCCGCGUGGAGGAUGAAGGUCCUUGGAUUGUAAACUCCUGUCAGCAGGGAAAAAGGGAAGGGAGCGAAUACCUCUCUGAC